rnacentral:miRNA from 1 species
UCUGGGGAGGAGCGUAGUUACA